UAAGUCUCUCGGCAACAGCAGCCAUCUCUGGAGUGCUUGAGGCUAGCACUGGAUCAAAAACCUUACAAUUAAAGACGACUUCUGGCUCUGAAGUUCUGGGAAAUACUCAAGGAAGAUGAAGUGAGCUUUGCAGCACUUCUGGUGUCUAUUGUGAAUAUGCUUUGCCUGAGUUAAAACGAAAAAGUUCUGAACAGUAAUAUAGUCUAAGCUUAACAAGGGUGUAAAAGAUGCUUUGAAAUUUGUG